GACGAACGCUGGCGGCGUGCCUAAUACAUGCAAGUAGAACGCUGAAGAGAGGAGCUUGCUCUUCUUGGAUGAGUUGCGAACGGGUGAGUAACGCGUAGGUAACCUGCCUUGUAGCGGGGGAUAACUAUUGGAAACGAUAGCUAAUACCGCAUAACAAUGGAUGACACAUGUCAUUUAUUUGAAAGGGGCAAUUGCUUCACUACAAGAUGGACCUGCGUUGUAUUAGCUAGUAGGUGAGGUAAUGGCUCACCUAGGCGACGAUACAUAGCCGACCUGAGAGGGUGAUCGGCCACACUGGGACUGAGACACGGCCCAGACUCCUACGGGAGGCAGCAGUAGGGAAUCUUCGGCAAUGGGGGCAACCCUGACCGAGCAACGCCGCGUGAGUGAAGAAGGUUUUCGGAUCGUAAAGCUCUGUUGUAAGUCAAGAACGGGUGUGAGAGUGGAAAGUUCACACUGUGACGGUAGCUUACCAGAAGGGGACGGCUAACUACGUG
rnacentral:rRNA from 1 species